AUUGAACGCUGGCGGCAUGCCUUACACAUGCAAGUCGAACGGCAGCACGGGUGCUUGCACCUGGUGGCGAGUGGCGAACGGGUGAGUAAUACAUCGGAACAUGUCCUGUAGUGGGGGAUAGCCCGGCGAAAGCCGGAUUAAUACCGCAUACGAUCUACGGAUGAAAGCGGGGGACCUUCGGGCCUCGCGCUAUAGGGUUGGCCGAUGGCUGAUUAGCUAGUUGGUGGGGUAAAGGCCUACCAAGGCGACGAUCAGUAGCUGGUCUGAGAGGACGACCAGCCACACUCGGACUGAGACACGGCCCAGACUCCUACGGGAGGCAGCAGUGGGGAAUUUUGGACAAUGGGCGAAAGCCUGAUCCAGCAAUGCCGCGUGUGUGAAGAAGGCCUUCGGGUUGUAAAGCACUUUUGUCCGGAAAGAAAUCCUUGGCCCUAAUACGGUCGGGGGAUGACGGUACCGGAAGAAUAAGCACCGGCUAACUACGUG
rnacentral:rRNA from 1 species